GUACUGUUGAAGAGUCCCAAACUAGGACGAAACAGCUUUGCAGUAC
rnacentral:hammerhead_ribozyme from 1 species